AGAGUGAACGCUGGCGGCAGGCCUAACACAUGCAAGUCGAGCGGCAGCGCGUCCGACCACCCUCGGGUGGUCGGAUGGCGGCGAGCGGCGGACGGGUGAGGAAUGCAUCGGAAUCUGCCUCGUUGUGGGGGAUAACGUAGGGAAACUUACGCUAAUACCGCAUACGACCUACGGGUGAAAGUGGGGGACCUUCGGGCCUCACGCGAUGAGAUGAGCCGAUGCCGGAUUAGCUAGUUGGCGGGGUAAAGGCCCACCAAGGCGACGAUCCGUAGCUGGUCUGAGAGGAUGAUCAGCCACACUGGAACUGAGACACGGUCCAGACUCCUACGGGAGGCAGCAGUGGGGAAUUUUGGACAAUGGGCGCAAGCCUGAUCCAGCCAUGCCGCGUGCGGGACGAAGGCCUUCGGGUUGUAAACCGCUUUCAGCCGGAAAGAAAUCGCCGUUUUUAAUACAGACGGUGGAUGACGGUACCGGAAGAAGAAGCACCGGCUAACUACGUG
rnacentral:rRNA from 1 species